ACGUUUUCCUGCCGCGCCUGAUAACGGAGCUUCGCGGUGAAGUAAAGCACCAUGUGCUGCUGGUCCGCGAGAACCAAACACUGACUGACUGACUUACAACUAACUUAUAACAGGACAACAAUAACCAGCAAAUCCUCCAGAACUGAUGGAAAACACGCUUCAAGUAAGAGGGAACAGCUGUAACAGAUGUUUGUCGUCUUCUUACCUUAUCGCGGGGCUCAGAGGGAUACUCGCCGUGUUGCAGGAAAACUUUUCUUCAGCUUGGUUUCUCCAGCUGAGCUGCGAUGUUUCUGCGGGUUGACAGCUGCGGUACAGGCUGCUGGACAAGUGCUUCAAGAAUCUGCAGAAGUUCUCCAGUGGAGGGAGCGUCUGCUGUCCUUUCAGACUGCUGAACCACUGAACAGGGAAACACUCCACCACCUGACGGCAGCAGUGAGACACAUUCAGAGCUACCAGAACACUAAUCUGUGAGCACUACACUAGAGAGGACCAUUCUGCCACAGGAUUAAAACAACAAUAAAAAGAUAAAUGUGACUUGUCAUCAGUGUGCAAAUUAUACACUGAUGAACAGGGGGUCAACUUUAU
rnacentral:lncRNA from 1 species